GCCUGGGUGGCUCAGUGGGUUAAAGUCUCUGCCUUCGGCUCAGGUCAUGAUCCCAGGGUUGUGGGAUCGAGCCCCACAUCAGGCU
rnacentral:tRNA from 1 species